UCACCGCUGUUCAAGCACCGUUCCCAUUUCUCUGUAGCUUGGCGCCAACCUUCUACCUUGCCCUUUCCCCGUUGCUUGGUGCCAAGAAAAGUGUCUCUCGCCUGCUUCAAGGCCCCAUUUUCUGGAGUGCUUCGCGUAUAGCUUCAGGGGUCGCAACUCUCAACUGGGUUAUGCUUGUUCGAUGAAUUUCAGGGUGUGUUUAUUUUCUUAGCCUUCGUCGUCGUUCUUCCCUGCGAGCAGAAGCCUCCAAGUUCGCCCAGAUGUAGUGGUAAGCCAUCAUUUUCUUUUUCACACUCUACUGAUAUUUAUAUGCAAGAAAAUAAACAUGGUUCCAAAAGAGAUAUCUAUUACAUGCACCCAGCUGUAUUUUCUUUCCUUUUGGAUUUUGGAUUUUGGAUUAUGGAUUUUGUGUUUAUUUUUAUAUUUUUCUUUCCUUUUUUGUGAUGCAAACCAAGUGUGUGUGAAAAUGCCUCAAUGGACUAAGAUUGUGAAAUUUAGUGAAUGAUUCUUCUAUAGGCUAAUGUAGUUGUUGCUUAUUGUUCUCUAGGCCUUUUUUUUUUUAUUUCAGUUUUAAUACACAUAGUCUAUUAGAUUAUUCUUUUUCUUGGUUGAUAUUAAAUGACGACAAGCAGGUGUUCUAUCAGCGGGUAACAAGUGAUUACCAUUGUAGGAGUUUGACACUUAGUGUUAUAUUUUAUUAGUGUUUUUUACUGCAGAGAUGUUGGUUAUUUAGCUCUCCUGUUUAUGCAUAGUUUAACAUAUUUUAAUUGUCAGCUCCUCAGGAAAUAGAUGAGCAUGAGCUCGUUGAUCCUGUUGAUAUAUUGGCUCCUUUGGAGAAGUCUGGAUUUUGGGAUGGAGUGGUCAGUCUUCUUUCUUCUCUCCGUCAAACUAGUUCAGUUUUUUUUUUGGUUGUAGUGAUUUAAUUUAGGAAUAUUUGGUUUUGAUGUUCCUGUACUACUUUUAACAUCUUGUGCCUUAUGUCACAGAAACCAACCAAGUGGUCAGAAUGGAAAGAGGCUGUUGCAGAGCUAACCAAGCUUGCUUCAACAAAAAGAAUAGCACCCGGUGAUUUCUCAGAAAUCUGUCGGACACUAAAAAAGCUCAUAACAGAUGUUAAUAUCGCUGUAGCAGUCGAG